CCAUUGGCUUCUUUCUCUUUGCUUUCAGAUGGCUGACAUUGUUACAGAACAAUGGAUUCAAAUUCAGCGGCUUGAGCAGGCUCUUCAUAUUACACAAAACCAAAGGCUCCUCUUGGUUAGCAGAAUUCAAAGGAAUAUGGUUCCAGUCCAGUGACCAUCUAGUAGAU